CAGCAGCCACGGUAAUACGUAGGGUGCGAGCGUUGUCCGGAAUUACUGGGCGUAAAGAGCUCGUAGGCGGUUUGUCGCGUCGUCUGUGAAAUUCUGCAGCUUAACUGUAGGCGUGCAGGCGAUACGGGCAGACUUGAGUACUACAGGGGAGACUGGAAUUCCUGGUGUAGCGGUGAAAUGCGCAGAUAUCAGGAGGAACACCGGUGGCGAAGGCGGGUCUCUGGGUAGUAACUGACGCUGAGGAGCGAAAGCGUGGGUAGCGAACAGGAUUAGAUACCCGCGUAGUCCCUGUCUCUUAUAC
rnacentral:rRNA from 1 species